GAUGAAGAACGUAGCGAAAUGCGAUAAGUAAUGUGAAUUGCAGAAUUCAGUGAAUCAUCGAAUCUUUGAACGCACAUUGCGCCCGCCAGUAUUCUGGCGGGCAUGCCUGUUCGAGCGUCAUUACAACCCUCAAGCCCCCCGGCUUGGUGUUGGGGACCGGCCACCGGUGCCCUGCCGCUUCCGCGGCAGGCGCACCCGGCCGCCCCCGAAAUGAAUUGGCGGCCCCGUCGCGGCCUCCCUCUGCGUAGUAGCACACAUCUCGCAGCUGGAGCGCGGCGCGGCCACUGCCGUAAAACGCACCAACUUUUUUUACAGUUGACCUCGAAUCAGGUAGGAAUACCCGCUGAACUUAAGCAUAUCAAUAAGCGGAGGA
rnacentral:misc_RNA from 1 species